UUGGCCUUGACAUACUAAGAACUUUCCAGAGAUUGGAUUGGUGCCUUUCGGGAACUUAGAUACAGGUGCUGCAUGGCUGUCGUCAGCUCGUGUCGUGAGAUGUUGGGUUAAGUCCGCAACGAGCGCAACCCUUUUUCCUUAUUUGCCAGCGGGUAAUGCCGGGAACUUUAAGGAUACUGCCAGUGACAAACUGGAGGAAGGCGGGGACGACGUCAAGUCAUCAUGGCCCUUACGGCCAGGGCUACACACGUGCUACAAUGGUCGGUACAAAGGGUUGCUACCUCGCGAGAGGAUGCUAAUCUCAAAAAGCCGAUCGUAGUCCGGAUCGCAGUCUGCAACUCGACUGCGUGAAGUCGGAAUCGCUAGUAAUCGCGGAUCAGAAUGCCGCGGUGAAUACGUUCCCGGGCCUUGUACACACCGCCCGUCACACCAUGGGAGUUUGUUGCACCAGAAGUAGGUAGUCUAACCGCAAGGAGGACGCUUACCACGGUGUGGCCGAUGACUGGGGUGAAGUCGUAACAAGGUAGGCGUAGAUGA
rnacentral:rRNA from 1 species